rnacentral:lncRNA from 1 species
UUAGCACUGGCGGAAGGACCCGCGAGAGGCCUGGGAGGAAGCCGGUGUGAGGUGGCACAGUCGGUCAGCUGGCAUGGGGCCCAUGCUGCUGCCCCUGGCUCUGCUGGCCCUGCUGCUGGGGCCUGCGCUGGCCCGGGGUGCCCGGGAUCCGGAGGUGUUCUGUGGAGUAUUUUCUUCCAUUGGAAGCCAACCCAUUUAGGGAAACCUGGGAAGAGACAUCUCGUCUCCUUCAAUUUGGUUGAAUUCUGUCUCUCUGGCACGAACGGCCCUGAGUACUCACGGUGAACGCAGAGGCAGCAGCGCUGCUGCUCCAUGUCCUGAAGCGAUUCUCCUAAUCCUGCCUCGCAAAACAGAAUACAGAAAACCUAACCUACUCAGGGGGAAGUGAGUGUCCUGCCUGCCCUCCUUCCAGGAGUCAUAUUAGUAAUAAAAU